UAGACUGCUAAUCUUCUUCUAUU
rnacentral:miRNA from 15 species